UACGAAGGGGGCUAGCGUUGUUCGGAAUCACUGGGCGUAAAGCGCACGUAGGCGGAUCUUUAAGUCAGGGGUGAAAUCCCAAGGCUCAACCUUGGAACUGCCUUUGAUACUGGGGAUCUCGAGUUCGGGAGAGGUGAGUGGAACUGCGAGUGUAGAGGUGAAAUUCGUAGAUAUUCGCAAGAACACCAGUGGCGAAGGCGGCUCACUGGCCCGAUACUGACGCUGAGGUGCGAAAGCGUGGGGAGCAAACAGGG
rnacentral:rRNA from 1 species